GCAAACUUGGUCAUUUAGAGGAAGUAAAAGUCGUAACAAGGUUUCCGUAGGUGAACCUGCGGAAGGAUCAUUAACGUAUCAUCUGACGGGUCCGCCCCGCCCUGCUCCAGUCCUGAUGCCGAAAGGGCUGCUGAACAAGCGGGCGGUACGGUCCCGUCCAAACCUCACAAACCCACCGUGAACCUUCAGGCGCCCCAGGGGCUCCGGUCACCGCCGGGACCCCUGAGGCCGCAUACAAACUCCAGUUGCAAAGAAUGUACGUGCGGACUUUGAGCCGCCUAAAACACAUAACAACUUUCAACAACGGAUCUCUUGGCUCUCGCAUCGAUGAAGAACGCAGC
rnacentral:misc_RNA from 1 species